rnacentral:rRNA from 1 species
GACAGGGGCCUCGAGCGUUAAUCGGAAUCACUGGGCUUAAAGGGUGCGUAGGCGGGCCUGCAAGUGCUCCGUGAAAUCCCCCGGCUCAACCGGGGAACUGCGGGGCAUACUGCGGGUCUUGAGGAAGGUAGGCGCCCAGGGAACAGUAGGUGGAGCGGUGAAAUGCGUAGAUAUCUACUGGAACGCCGAUGGUGAAGACGCUCGGCUGGGCCUUUCCUGACGCUGAGGCACGAAAGCGUGGGGAGCAAACAGG